ACUACCGGGAGUCUGCCCGUCUGGCGU
rnacentral:sRNA from 1 species